AGCGAGCAUAGCUUGUACGCUUUGAGCUGGACGCUCGAUCAUUUCUUCGUUCCCUUCGUUUCUAAUUCUCCUUUCAAGCUUGUUGUUCUCCACGCCAAACCCUAUGCUGCUACUGCUGUCGGUCUACCUGGACCUGGUACUAAACGGAGUCUCUCCAUUUGUUUUUUCUUGGUUUAGUUAAACUAAUAGAGUUGAAAUUUACUGUGAUUUGUUUUAGCGGCUGCUGAGAUUUUACCGUCUCUGGAGUCGGAUUUGAAGAGGAUAGCUGCUA
rnacentral:misc_RNA from 1 species